AGUGAACGCUGGCGGUAGGCCUAACACAUGCAAGUCGAACGGCAGCACAGGAGAGCUUGCUCUCUGGGUGGCGAGUGGCGGACGGGUGAGGAAUACAUCGGAAUCUACUCUGUCGUGGGGGAUAACGUAGGGAAACUUACGCUAUACCGCAUACGACCUACGGGUGAAAGCAGGGGACCUUCGGGCCUUGCGCGAUUGAAUGAGCCGAUGUCGGAUUAGCUAGUUGGCGGGGUAAGGCCCACCAAGGCGAAGAUCCGUAGCUGGUCUGAGAGGAUGAUAAGCCACACUGGAACUGAGACACGGGCCAGACUGCUACGGGAGGGAGCAGUGGGGAAUAUUGGACAAUGGGCGCAAGCCUGAUCCAGCCAUACCGCGUGGGUGAAGAAGGCCUUCGGGUUGUAAAGCCCUUUUGUUGGGAAAGAAAUCCAGCUGGCUAAUACCCGGUUGGGAUGACGGUACCCAAAGAAUAAGCACCGGCUAACUUCGUGCCAGCCGCCGCGGUAA
rnacentral:rRNA from 1 species